rnacentral:pre_miRNA from 1 species
AGUGGGAUAGCUAGGUCAAAUGGUGGAUCCAUUCCACAUUUUUUAAGGAAUCGCCACACUGCUUUCCAGAUUGGUUGCACCAAUUUACAGUUCCACCAGUAAU